AGUUGACUCCGGGGUUCGUAUAGGCAGGGAGCACAGGCGUAAGGCUGAGAUCGGCUUCCCUAGAGCCUUUCAAACUGGAUGGACCUGCACUUGUUGCUUAAAUGUCUUGAGGCCUGUGUUUCCACAUCUGGGAAAUGGGGAAAUUGUGGUGUUUGCUGUGAAGCUUCCUCAUUGGCUGAUGAACUCAUCUGGUGUUCCUAAGACCAACACCUUCAGUCCCAUUUCACAAAGUCCAAAUCACAAAGGAGGAAACUAUUUAUUUGAUGAAUGCUGUAUUGAAGGAGGCUCUUCUUCCCUUUAUACCUCACGAUGGUCCAAAGAAGACCAGAUACAGAAGAAAAAGAUUCAAGGAGAAGGCCUCUGUAAGACACAGUCAAAGUGCUAUUUAAGGUAAAACUGGACCAAGACGACACGGAGUUGAAUGCCACCAUGGUGACUGUAAGAGGAGGAUAAGCCCGUAAUCAAAUGCUCCAUACCAUCUGUUUGAGAGUUUUUUGAGACUGGGAUCACUGUCUGGAACCACAGGCCGCCCUCUGAAGGCUGGAGAGGUGGUGACAGCUGAACAAAUGAUGGCGCUACGAGUCCAUGGGUUAGGUUACCUGGGCAUGGGAAUCCCCAUAUAGCCAAUGCCUUCUCGGGUAUUAAGUGUCAGAUAAACACAGCUCCUCAACUGC
rnacentral:lncRNA from 1 species